CUCUAGCCCUGUCUUCCCAUUCGGUGUUUAGCACUGACAAUAGAACAUUGAACAUGGUGUUGUGGCUGACGUGGGUUUUCUUUGUUGUGUUUAUUCAAGGUGUGCAUUGUGAAGUGAAGCUUAUUGAGUCUGGUGGAGGAUUGGUGCAGCCUGAAGGGUCAUUGAAACUCUCUUGUGCAGCCUCUGGAUUCACCUUCACUAACGCUGCCAUGUACUGGGUCCGCCAGGCUCCAGGAAAGGGUCUGGAAUGGAUUGCUCGCAUAAGAAGUAAAAGUAAUAAUUAUGCAACAUAUUAUGCUGAUUCAGUGAAGGACAGAUUCACCAUCUCCAGAGAUGAUUCUCAAAGCAUGGUCUACCUGCAAAUGAACAACCUGAAAACUGAGGACACAGCCACAUAUUACUGUACGGCAGACACAGUGGGAAAUCUUCAGUGUGAGCCUCGGCAAAAAGCUCCAGUUCAGGUACGCAUGACCAGCAGGAGGCGCUCAGUACACACAGAGCCCAGAUCAGCUCUGAUGUAG